GGAGUUUGGACCGUGUCUCAGUUCCAAUGUGGGGGACCUUCCUCUCAGAACCCCUACUGAUCGCAGGCUCGGUGGGCCGUUACCCCGCCGACAACCUAAUCAGACGCAUCCCCAUCCCAUAGCGAUGAAUCUUUGCUCCAACUUAGAUGUCUGCAUUGGAGAACAUAGGGAAUUAAUCCGACUUUCGCCGGGCUGUGCCCUACUACGGGGAAGGUUGGAUACGCGUUACUCACCCGUGCGCCGGUCGCCAUCAGAAGUUGCAAGCAACUCCCAUGAUGCCCCUCGACUUGCAUGUGUUAAGCCUGUAGCUAGCGUUCAUC
rnacentral:rRNA from 1 species